UAGCGUAGGGGGCAAGGCGUUUGUCCGGGAUUUAUUGGGCGUAAAGAGCGUGUAGGCGGCUUGGUAGGUCCGCUGAUGAAAACUCGAGGCUCAACCUCGAGAUGUCGGCGGAAACCACUUGGCUAGAGGUCCGGGAGAGGUGAGUGGAACUGCGAGUGUAGAGGUGAAAUUCGUAGAUAUUCGCAAGAACACCAGUGGCGAAGGCGGCUCACUGGCCCGGUACUGACGCUGAGGUGCGAAAGCGUGGGGAGCAACAGG
rnacentral:rRNA from 1 species